rnacentral:rRNA from 1 species
CAGCAGCCACGGGAAUACGUAGGGGGCAAGCGUUGUCCGGAAUCAUUGGGCGUAAAGCGCGUGUAGGCGGCUCGAUAAGUCUGCUGUGAAAGUCCAGGGCUCAACCCUGGAAUGCCGGUGGAAACUGUCGAGCUCGAGUCCGGAAGAGGCAAGUGGAAUUCCUGGUGUAGCGGUGAAAUGCGCAGAUAUCAGGAGGAACACCAAUGGCGAAGGCAGCUUGCUGGGACGGUACUGACGCUGAGACGCGAAAGCGUGGGGAGCAAACAGGAUUAGAUACCCCAGUAGUCCCUGUCUCUUAUAC